GUCACGUACAGUCGUUGUGGGUGCUCACCUCCUAUAAAUGCUGAUUGCCCAAGUGAUUAUAAGCCCAUUGCAGGUGGAGACUCUGCAACUGAAGACAUGGUACCACGCUGUUUGCGAAUGUGGAAAGGGGAGGAACCGUGGGAGAUUAGCAAGCCUAAGUUUUCAAUGGAAACGGUAUCAUUCUCUUCCUGCCCCAGUCUCCAGGGCACUGCAGAAGGGGAAGCAGCCCCAGGCCUGGCCUGAAGGGAGACUGAACUACUAUUCGUGUAUGAAGCCAGUAAGGGGUAACAGCACAGAACGCCCGG
ensembl:lncRNA